CCUACGGGAGGCAGCAGUGAGGAAUAUUGGUCAAUGGACGAGAGUCUGAACCAGCCAAGUAGCGUGAAGGAUGACUGCCCUAUGGGUUGUAAACUUCUUUUAUAAAGGAAUAAAACGCGGCACGUGUGCCCUUUUGCAUGUACCUUAUGAAUAAGGAUCGGCUAACUCCGUGCCAGCAGCCGCGGUAAUACGGAGGAUCCGAGCGUUACCCGGCUUUAUUGGGUUUAAAGGGAGCGUAGAUGGGUUGUUAAGUCAGUUGUGAAAGUUUGCGGCUCAACCGUAAAAUUGCAAUUGAUACUGGCAGUCUUGAGUACAGUUGAGGUAGGCGGAAUUCGUGGUGUAGCGGUGAAAUGCUUAGAUAUCACGAAGAACCCCGAUUGCGAAGGCAGCUUACUAGACUGUGACUGACAUUGAUGCUCGAAAGUGUGGGUAUCAAACAGGAUUAGAUACCCCAGUAGUC
rnacentral:rRNA from 1 species